rnacentral:ncRNA from 1 species
UUAAAGUUUGAUUCUAGCUUAUAGAUUAAUUCAUAGUAGAUUUCACAUGUAAGAUUUUAUGAAUUAUAAAAUGUCUAAAAGGUUAUAAUAAUAAAUCGCAGUGCUUAAUAUUAUAAAUCAUGUUAAAUGGAUAUAGUUAUACUUAUUAAUAUAGACUAAUUUUGUGCCAGCAGUCGCGGUUAUACAAUUUAUAUGAAUUAAUUUUUUAGGGUUACAAUUAAAAUUAAUAUAAUUAUAUAAAAGUGAUGUUAUGGUGAAAUAUUUCAUUAUUUAUUUAUUUAUUUAUUUUAUUUGUUAAAUUUUUGUUAAUAAACUAGGAUUAGAUACCCUAUUAUUUAAGAAUUUAAAUAUUAUAGCCUGAUUAGUAAUAGUUAAGAUCUCGAAAUUCAAAGAAUUUGGCGGUAAUGUACCCUUUCAGAGGAACCUGUCCUGUAAUCGACAAUCCACGAUAGAUUUAACUUUAGAUUGACUUGUAUAUCUCUGUCAAGAAUGUUCUAUAAAGAAAUUUUCUUUAAUAAUUAUGUAAAUAUAAUGUCAGGUCAAGGUGCAGUUUAUUUUAAAGAAGAGAUGGGUUACAUUAUAUAAUUUUUGGAUAUAGUUUUUAUAAAAAGUUAUUGAAAAAGGAUUUGAUAGUAAAAUUUAUAUAUUUAUAUAAUUGAAACAGGCUCUAUAUUAUGCACACAUCGCCCGUCACUCCCUCUUUAAGGAGGGAUAAGUCGUAACAAAGUAGUCGUACCGGAAGGUGUGGCUAGAAAGUUU